CCUGUCCAUUAAACACCCGAUUACAUAUUUUUAUAAAUAUGGGGCAUCGUUCCGUGCCCGUUUAAGGAUUAAAAUCCAAUUUGUAUGUCUAGCUGCCGACUCUAGGAGCAAUGAAGCUGUCGAGCAGCUUGCGUGCGCUAUUUUUUUGUCGAUCGAUCUUUUUAGACUUUUCGGGGCGUGCGUGUGUGGAGAGACUACGAUAGACAAGCUUCGGAACUUGGGUGUGGCCUGGGACGUCGGGAGAAGGCCGGCGAUGGAGAGAGUGGGGUGCAUACGGCGAUGGGUAUACUCGAACAGGUCCGACGGUGGUCGGUAUGUAGCACGCAGCGGCAGAGAAGGGGUGCCAGGGGAAGAAGGGAGAGGCGGCGGAGAGAGCCUAGAAACUCUUCGAGCUGCAACGGUGCGGCCUCUUGCGCGCGACACAGGGAGGCUUAGUGCGGCCCCGGUGUAGAAGAAGAAGUUGAGGCUGUAGCGCGGCGGCACAGCGGCUAGAGACGCUCGUUUGGGAUCGGUUUAAAAGUAUAGGUGGGACUCUAGGACUGGACGGGCGGACGACUACGUCUGCCUCCGCGCCCACCCGCCACAGCAACAGCGGGCGGCCCCGCGGCCGGCGAUCUUAGUCCUUGCAGCCGUGGCGGUGGUACCGCGUGGAGCGACGACUGCCCUAGCGCGCCUGCAGCAGUCGUUCUGGACGUGGUCCGGGGGAGGGGACGGAGUGGUAUGAGAAUGUACAAUAACAAAGGACGAGGGAUAAGAGAGAACGAAAGAACAUACUGCCUAACCCCUUGAGUCACGACCUCUCCCUUUAAGAGUAUUUCUAAGCCCCCGACUUUUUCAUGCCCUAUUUGGAACCCCAACAUAGUUUGCUUCCUUAACUUCACAAAUACACUCACCGACUGGGCACCACCUCCACACACUCGUCGGGUAGGGGCCAGACACACUAGUCGUACAGGUGCAGAGGGUUAGACGGCCGACGGUGAAGAGUUGUGACUGGAGCUCUUAGGAGCCUACCUAAACGUCCGAUACCUACUUACGGCGAGGUAACCAGAUUGUGUCGGCCAAGUACAAAUCGUAAACCGUUGUAUCUUAAAACAGCUGCAUGCCGAACCCGAACCUUUAAAACAGUUGUAGUUAAAACUGUUAAAGCACUACUUCGUGCUCGCCCACGAUUGGUAUUCACUAGCCUUCGGACGUCGUACACGUUAUACACCAGAACACAAUGUCAACUAGUCAGAUGCACCGGUAGUCUAAUGUCAAAACCUCCAAACUAUCACACGAACUCGCCCCUAUGGUCUGAAGGUUAGAACUUACCUGUCCUUGCAUAACAGUUAACCUACACGAGACACUUUGAUUCUGUUUCCAUAUAGAUUUUAUGGUCAAUUUACCUACAGAUAGAUAUAUACAAGAUAAAGAUUUCUUUUACCACGUUAGUAAAGAAAGGAUUGACUUUUAAGUUUCGAAUUACAAGGUAGAAUAUCAUCAAAACACACCCAACAUUUAGUGUACUUAUAGACAUGUAACCACGUAGAUGAUUUCUAUUAGUCCCUCAGCGACCAAAACCCUGAUAACCUUCCAAUCUCGAAAGUUGUACGUACAGCAGAAUUGAGAUACUUCAGGAAAUAAACUUUUUUUUUAGUAAGACUUUUUAUUCAACAAGAAGAGAGAGAUGUCAAGUUACUUUUCUACCUUACCACUGGACGUAGAAUAACAAACAACUGCUUUAUCGGGAAUAAGCUGAUUUCUCUUUAACCUGACUAUAGUAGUUCGACCUUUUCAAAAACACAACAGGGAAACCAGUCUUAUAGUUGCGAAUUUCUACGACUUCAAAAGAUCAAUUGGACUACAUCCAUGAAGUAAAACAAUCAGUCUUAAUAGGUCCAUCAACCAAUACAUACGUCUGACCCAUAACGACAAUGUUCCGAGCUUUGUUUAACCUCUGUGUACCAGACGACCUAACCGCAAACAUAUUAAUACCCGUACGUUUUAGUGCCUACCUAGAUCUAGGUCUAAUACUAUUCUGAUCUACAUACUGUAUCAUUUCAAACUUCUUACUAUGAGGGAGACAUUUGAUUAUAUUCUCACAAAUCUAAUGAUUUCAUCACUAGAUUUGUGAGAAUAUAAUCAAAUGCCUCCCUCAUUAAAAAUCGUUUUGUACGGCAAAAUCUUCUUUGUUCCCAAAAUUGGAGGACUUUAACAAUUUUCCUCUACACUAACGUUAAGCGAACUGGUCCUCACGUGAACUCACACUUCUUUGGCGGCCGACGACUCCACGACUUCUAUUUGUCGCCACGCAGAAAUCGUUGAGACCUCCGAUCCCGAAACAUUAAUCCCUACAAGUUCCCCUGACUCAGUCUGCUUAAGUUUUCCGUCGACUACGAAAGUUUGACUUCGACGACGUACAACCGUUUUUUUAAAUUCGAUAACUUCCAUCGACUACGAAACGUUUGACUUCGAUAACGUACAAUCCUUUUGUUUUGUACAAAUUUACCGUAUACACACUGUUGUCUGACACUAGGUCACUCGCCUCGAUCUUAAACUGCGGGUUCAGUAGCAGGUUCGAUACCAUCAUUCAUGAGGGA
rnacentral:rRNA from 1 species